rnacentral:rRNA from 1 species
CCUACGGGAGGCAGCAGUAGGGAAUAUUGCUCAAUGGGGGAAACCCUGAAGCAGCAACGCCGCGUGGAGGAUGAAGGUUUUCGGAUUGUAAACUCCUUUUGUUAGAGAAGAUAAUGACGGUAUCUAACGAAUAAGCACCGGCUAACUCCGUGCCAGCAGCCGCGGUAAUACGGAGGGUGCAAGCGUUAUUCGGAAUCACUGGGCGUAAAGAGCGCGUAGGCGGGGUGGCAAGUCAGAUGUGAAAUCCUAGGGCUUAACCCUAGAACUACAUUUGAAACUGUUAUGCUAGAGUAGGGGAGAGGUAGGUGGAAUUCUUGGUGUAGGGGUGAAAUGCGUAGAGAUCAAGAGGAAUACUCAUUGCGAAGGCGACCUGCUGGAACAUAACUGACGCUGAGGCGCGAAAGCGUGGGGAGCAAACAGGAUUAGAUACCCGAGUAGUC